AAUUCUGUCCCACAAGAAAAAGUCAAUGGGGUCAAUUCAGGGCUGAGACCCAUCUUUCAUUAAAGUUUCAUGGAAAUCUGCGCGAGAGUAAUCCUGCUGCAAGCAGACACAACAUUCUUUGGUGCAGAUACUGAAGGAUCCGUCUGAAUCAGAAACGUCUCCUCCUCCAUCAGAAACCACUUUGGUUUAGUUCAACCAAUGAUCUCAGAGCUCUUCCUGUCCAGAACUCUAUCCAGGAACAGGAAACUCAGCACAAAGAAAGCAAAACAGGGCAGUGACAAUGCCACCAACAAUAUUUUUAAAAAUACCCCCAUAAAAAAAAAAUGGAAUACUUAAUGUUUGCAUUCCUUAAUUGACUAUUCAGUCAAUAUUAAAAUUUAGACAAGGUUGAUUCUAUUAAUUUGUUACUUCCACCAAGGAGGUGGAAGGUCCCUGUCUUUGUUGGUCUGCUGGUUUGUCAGCAGGAUUACACACCAACUACAGGACAGAUUUGGAUGGGUCUCGGCCCAGAUUUCACCUAAUUAUCUUUUGGUGUAGAUCCGGAUAAAGGGACAGAUACAGAAAUGUGUUCUCACUUUAUUCAAUCGUGCAUUAUGGGGCUUUUUUAAAAUCUGUAUUCUUCCCACAAGGAACAUUAUUCCUUGAAAAGAAGCUUCCAUACAGUUAUAGGGGGGCUGCUGUCUAACAUUGAGUGCAGUUGGAUGUGGAUUCAAAAACAAAUUAUUUAUUUAGAAUUAUUUAUCCACGACACAAUGGAGAUUUAUACAAAGUAAAUGUAUAGUCAUUUUCAUUUUUUCAACACAAAGGCUUUAAAAAAAUAUAAGUAUAUGAGUUUGUUUUUUUCAGAUGGCAGCAGGGUGAACAGACUGACUGGGGUGGGUGUUGUCUGGUCAGGUGACAAGGAAGCACACAGCGGCAAACGUCUGGAUAGAGCCCUCAUCUUCAUCACUGAAGAUGUAUAUUCCUAAAGACUGAUGUUGUUAUCCCGGCAGCAUCUCUGAACAUUUGGCUGUGCACUCAAAACAGUCCAGUACGGCUGCUGUAGCUCCAAUCGUCCACACUUUUGACCCUCUUGAUCAGCUGUGAGUAAACAGACAGAAGAAGGGAAACAGACCGAAGUGAGGACCUAGGAGGGCUUUGUAGCUGCUAUAAUAAAGAUUCCAUCCUGUUGUCUAGUCAUACUGCUACGGAUUACAUCAUACAAUUCUUGUUGAGCUGUUUUUGAGUUUGCAUCUGUGGGAACAGCAACAAUAAAAAUCACAGUAAUCUCCACAGAGUCCUUGGUGAACAUGUGGGCACAGCAGUCUCUGACUUCUCAUUGCCGAGUAAGCCCGAGUCCCUUCCUGACAGACCAUCUCCUCUCGAAGCUGAACAGAACCUUGUCCAUGUGAUCAGCAGCAAACUUCAGUCCAGCUUUCAGGUGCCGCGUCUGGAGCAAGGACUCAUUUCUUGCAGGGCAGCCUCUCAGCUCGUGUUGGUGUAAACACUGACAGCUGUCUUCAAGAAGCUUCUAAUAUAUAGCGGACUUGCUUUAUGGUGGUUUUUGGUUGACUCGUGACCAUCCUGGCCAGUUCUCUCUCAGAAGCAGGUGAUAGCUCGUGUUUUCUUCCUGAUCGUAGCAGUGACACAACUGUGCCACGUACUUUAUACUUACAGUCUGUACAGUUCAUCUUGGGACCUGUAACUGCUUUGAAAUGGCUCCAAGUGACUUUCCUGACAUGUUCAAAUCAAUAAUGCACACUUUCAGAUCAAUGCUGAGCUCCUUCAACUUUCCUAUUGUAGUGUUUAUGGCUGAGUCUAAUGGGUCUAUCAAACAAGCCCUAUUAAAAUAGACCCAGAAAAGUCACCAGCUGUUACCGAUCAGAAUCACUCAGAACAAGUUGAGAAGCCCCGAUACAAAGAACAUUUGUUUGACACAACUUUCUAUAAUCGCCUAAAUCGAUAAUUCAAGUUACUGUAUGUAUAUUUCUGAGGUACCAGAUCUGGGCACAUGACUUCAUAAUUGAAACAAACUUCAUGUUUUUUGUGACAAAGCAUUUUGUUUUCAUCUCGUUCCAUCACAGAAAAAGUGAGAGCUGCAUAAAUCACUGGAAUUGAAGACCGCCAUGAUACACAUGUUCAUUUUGUUCAUAACUCAGCGAUUAAAAAAA